AUUCCCGCCUCAGUUUGCUCACGGGAACCCCCGCACGCUGCUCAUUUUCUCCAGGAGCUGUCACCCUGUCUCUCUCUCCUCCUCUCUCUCUCUCUCAAACUGACACACACACCAAGUAGCUCGAGCCCCAGUGGAGACGCUGCUGACGCUCUGCUCGCUCCACCGACAACACCGAGUCACGUUCUGUUCUUCUCUCGCUACACAGACAACACCAAAUCACGUUCUGUUCUUCUCUCGCUCCACCGACAACACAAAGUCACGGUAUGUUCUUCUCUGGCAGAACCGGAGAGCGAAAGCCUUUUAGGAUUCUAUCUAUCGCGUGUGAUAUUUGGAGCUGAACGACCGGUCGUGACGGAGGACGCGAGGGGAAAUACAAAAAAAGAGCGAAAGGGAGAAAAGAAAAGGUGGUGUCCUCCCAUCAGAAACACUCUGAGAGCAGCUUGACAGCACAGGACGGAAGGAGGGAGGGAGGGAGAGAGAGAGAGAGAGAGAGAGAGAGAGAGAGAGAGAGAGAGAGAGAGAGCCGACCAUCUGUGAAUCACAUCAAGGCAGCUGUGGUUAGAGUGGACUGCAGUUAUUUUACGAACGAGAGGCGGAGAGGGGGAUAGAAGUGGAGAGAAGGAGAGGGGAUAGAAGUUGAGAGAAGGAGAGGUGGAUAGAAGUUGAGAGAAGGAGAGGUGGAUAGAAGUGGAGAGAAGGAGAGGGGGAUAGAAGUGGAGAGAAGGAGAGGGGAUAGAAGUGGAGAGAAGGAGAUGGGGAUAGAAGUGGAGAGAAGGAGAGGGGGAUAGAAGUGGAGAGAAGGAGGGGGGGGUAGAAGUGGAGAGAAGGAGGGGGGAUAGAAGUGGAGAGAAGGAGAGGGGGAUAGAAGUGGAGAGAAGGAGAGGGGGAUAGAAGUGGAGAGAAGGAGAGGGGGAUAGAAGUGGAGAGAAGGAGGGGGGGAUAGAAGUGGAGAGAAGGAGAGGGGAUAGAAGUGGAGAGAAGGAGAGGGGGAUAGAAGUGGAGAGAAGGAGAGGGGGAUAGAAGUGGAGAGAAGGAGAGGGGGAUAGAAGUGGAGAGAAGGAGAGGGGGAUAGAAGUGGAGAGAAGGAGAGGGGAUAGAAGUGGAGAGAAGGAGGGGGGGAUAGAAGAGAGAAAUGGAGAGAGAAGGACAAAAGGAGAGGGGGCCUGGGUGAGUUUCCAAGCCCAGGACGGUGAACCCUGAUCGGGGGGUUAGACCAGGCCUCUGGAGUUCCUUUGGAGAGAUGAGGACCUCUGAGAAGACAGUGUUUAGACACAGGUGAAAAUGAAAUGAAUCCUGACUCUAAUGGAUCCUGUGAUUACAACAUGGAUUGACCUUUUCUUCUUCUGAUCUGAAGGAAUAUUUUAGUUUUUUAUGUGGACGUUUUUCUGUGUGGAAAUGUGUCUAUUUUUUCUGCAUGAAUUUGGAGUUUCAAAUCUUUCUGGUGUGGAUUUUAAGGAGGCUGUUCAGUUGACUCUGGAUCUGAAACUGCCUCCACUCAUCUGAAGGGAUUUAAACAAUAACUAUUUUGGCCUUGGAUUUUUUUCACGUUGUGUAUUUUUCCAAUAUGUUUUUUUCCCGUGCAGUAGUUGAGACUGCUUUGUAACCUUGGUAACCAAGCGGUAACCAG
ensembl:lncRNA